rnacentral:lncRNA from 1 species
CGCAGAGAUGCCAGCUCCCGGGUCUCGCGGCCUGCAAGCUCUUGUGAAUGGCCACCCGCAGCAGCCCAGGGUGCCAUCUACCUGGCCGGUGAGGUGUUUUCCCUCCAGACUACCAGGCUGCAAUUCAGGGUUGGACUUGAUGGAAAAUGAAGUUUAUAAACAAGCAACCCAAUUUCUCCAACAUAUUCGAGGAGCUGCCUAGAAGUUAAGCAACAAAAAAACCAGCAAAGUUUUGCUGGUAAUUUACAGCGAUGUUACUGAAACCCAGCAAGUGAACGAUGAGAAGAAGGAUACCUCAAGUAGGCUCUCUUGUCCUACACGGAUAGCGCGGUUAUGCAAUUGGCCGCCUGGCGUUUUGCCGCAGUCGGGAUAUAUUUUUCAAGGUGCUUGUUUGGUCAAAAUAAAAACUGUAUUUAACACACAACGCGACCUUUCUUUGAUAUUACGCACGAGG